UGAUACGUCCCAAACAAACCGCUUUGGUCGUGUUUAUCAGAGACGCUUUAAGAAAAGUUUAAAAUAGGAUAAUUAUAAGUUAUAGUUAUCUAGUUAUUAUUGCUUAGUUAUUUUAUUAUUUAGGAAUCGGAUGUUUAGGACUUUUGGUUAUUUUAGCAGGUCACUAUAAUUGGUGCACCAUAGGGAGAAUUGUUUCUUUUAUCGAUUAAUUAAUAAAGCCGUGAGGUAAUUUUGGAGUUCUUCCUGUGACUCGAAUAACAGGAACAGUUCACGGGAAUACCUGUGAUCAUAUCAAUUGGUAUCAGAGCAAAACGCUCCUGAUGUCAGAUGCGGAGAGGCUGUCAGGCAAGGGCACCAACACCAAGCGAUUGGUAGCGUUGGAGGAGGUAGUCAACAAGGCAUUGGAGUCAGCCGAGGCACGUCAGACGGAGUUUGCGGACCAGAUUCAACAGCUGAUCAGGGCUGUUGCUGAGUUGACGGUGGCGGUGGGUCGGCCUAAGAAGAAAUCAAAGUACGAAUCCCCGUCUGAUCCCAGUGACGAUUCGGAGGAUGACGACUCGGAUGUUUCUGAUCGCAGUUCUCGAUCAGGGGCUUCCAAACGAUCAAAGAAGGAGGGCCGGAAACGCGACCUGGUUCGGGAUUGUCGAAAGAUGAAGAUACCCCUUUUUUCAGGGGAGGAUGUGCAGGGCUGGCUCUACAAGGUUGAGAGGUAUUUCGAGCUACACAAAUUCCGUGGUAAGGACAAGCUUAAGGCCGUCGGAAUUUGUUUGGAGGGAGCGCCCCUGUCGUGGUUUCGGUGGAAGGAAGAGAAAUCUCCCUUUGGUUCGUGGUCGCGGUUUAAACGAAAGUUGCUGGAACGAUUCCAGCAGUCGCACGAGGGAAGCAUUAAGGAACAAUUUUUGGAUAUUCGUCAGGAGGGUACGGUGCGGGAAUAUGUGGAUCGAUUUGAAGGUUUUGCGGGUCAAUUGCUGGGUGUACCAGAUGAUAUCAUGGAAUGUACCUUUAUUAAAGGUCUAAAACCAGAAAUUAGAGGGGAGGUUUGGAUCGCGAAACCUGGUUCACUCGAGCACGCCAUCCGGGUGGCAAUCAAGAUUGAUGACAACAAAGGCGGAGGUGUGGUUAAGUCGGGCUCUGCUACAUCUAAGGGGAAUUAUGGUUAUGGAACUAGAAGAGGGAUUUCACCCCAAAUUAAAACUAAUAUGGGGAAUACAAGCCUAGUAUAGACUAAUGUCAAGAAGGAGGAUAAUGUGCAAGGGGGAUUCAAGAAGCUGACAGCUGCUGAACUGGCAGAUAAACGGGCUCGUGGACUCUGUUUUAGGUGUGAUGGGAAGUUUGCGCCUGGCCAUAAGUGUCCAAGUAAGGCUUUGCAGGUUCUAAUCAUUGAUGGGGAGGAGGACGAUGGGGGUGAAGAGGAGUUGGAAGAUGGCAAUCAUGCGCAUUUGGACAUGGCAGAAGUAUCACUCAAUUCUGUAAGUGGUCUAACCUCGCCUAGGACAAUGAAAGUAUUAGGAAAGAUUGGGGAUAAGGAGGUAGUAGUUCUCGUUGAUAGUGGGGCCACCCACAAUUUCGUUUCCUCAAGAUUAAUUGACGAACUAGCCCUCGUGGUGACGGGUACACGGUCGGUGGGAGUGAAACUGGGUAAUGGAGUGAUCGCGUGAAGUUUUGGAUGUUGCAAGGGGUUGGUUCUUGAGUUGCUCGAGUUGCGUGUGAUCGAAGACUUUUUACCUUUUUAGCUUGGGGGGUCCGACGUGAUUUUGGGUAUCAAGUGGCUGCAAACACUGGGUGAUAUGACCGUAAAUUGGUUGGAACUUAGGAUGCAAUUUUGGUUAGAUCACCGACUAGUCACUCUCCGAGGUGACCCAAGUUUAUCAAAAUCCAUGGCGUCUUGUAAGACGUUGCAAAAGUUGUUGCAGCAGGAAGGUGAGGGAUACCUCGUGCACCUCCAGGGCGAUUAUGGCUUGUUAAAUUUUGGUAUAACUUCCGCUCCAAUCAAGGCAGUAUUGGAUGGUUUUGGCGACGUUUUCAGUUUGCCGGUUGGUUUACCACCGACUCGAAGUCAUACUCACUCUAUUAUACUUAAGGAAGGCACACCACCCAUAAGUGUAAGGCCCUACCGAUACCCGCACGUGCAAAAAGACGAGAUUGAGCGGUUAGUACGGGAAAUGUUGGAUGUAGGUAUUAUACAACCAAGCACGAGUCCAUUCUCUAGUCCUGUUUUGCUGAUAAAGAAAAAAGAUGGCAGUUGGAGGUUUUGUGUGGAUUAUCGGGCCCUUAAUAAAGCGACCGUGCUCGACAAGUUUCCGAUUCCUGUCAUCGAUGAGCUUUUGGAUGAAUUGCAUGGGUCCGUGAUUUUUUCACGAUUGGAUUUGAAAUCUGGUUAUCACCAGAUCCGAAUGAGGGAAGCAGAUGUUCCAAAGACAGCUUUUAGGACACAUGAGGGCCACUACGAGUUUCUUGAUAUGCCGUUUGGGUUAACUAACGCACCUGCUACUUUUCAAUCGCUAAUGAACCGAGUAUUCCAGCCUUUCUUGCGUCGAUUUGUGCUUGUUUUUUUUUAUGACAUCCUAGUUUACAGCAAAUCUGAGGAUGAACAUGUUGGGCACUUGUCGACGGUGCUACAAACUAUGCGAAAGCAUAAAUUAUUUGCAAAUCAUAGGAAGUGCUCGUUUGCUCAAGCACAAAUCGAAUACUUGGGAUAUUUAGUGUCGGCUAAUGGGGUUUCGGCUAAUCUCGCGAAGAUUGAUGCCAUGUUACAAUGGCCAGAACCCAAAACGUUGCGGGAGUUGCGCGGGUUUCUGGGUUUAACCGGGUACUACCGUAAGUUUGUUCGUAAUUAUGGGAAGAUAGCGGGUCCUCUCAUGGAGCAGUUAAAGAAAGAUAAUUUUGGGUGGAACGAAGGGGCAGCGUGGGCUUUUCAGCAGCUUAAGUUUGCUAUGACACGGGUGCCUGUGUUGGCCUUACCCGAUUUUAACAAGACGUUUGUUGUUGAAACUGAUGCGUCGGGGUUUGGUGUGGGGGUGGUAUUAAUGCAAGAUGCACGUCCGAUUGCGUAUUUUAGUCAAGUUUUGGGGUCUCGAGCUCGGUUGAAGUCCGUUUACGAGCGGGAAUUGAUGGCAAUUGUGUUUGCGGUUCAAAAAUGGCAGCCAUACUUGUUGGGACGGAAGUUCAUUGUUCGAACAGAUCAGCGGAGUUUGAAGUAUUUGUUGGAACAACGCAUGGUGGCUGAAGAUCAUCAGAAGUGGUUGUCCAAGUUGUUAGGGUAUAACUUCGAUAUUGAGUACCGUCCCAGAAAGGAGAACAACGCGGCUGAUGCUUUGUCACGAAAAAUAGGGGUGGAAUGUGGUGCACUAGCAACCGGGUGCAACAUCGACUGGGGAAGGUUGUGGCGUGAGCUGGAGCUGGACACCAAAUUGGUUGGGCUUCGACAACGAUUACGGGAUGGGCAGCAAGUACCGGUUGGUUUUUCUAUUGAAAAGGAUCGACUUUUGUUUAAGGGGAGGUUAGUUCUGAAUCGCAAUUCAGAGUGGAUUCCCAAAUUGUUUCAUGAAUUCCAUGGGAGUGUAGUGGGUGGUCAUUCGGGGGUGCAGAAAACUUACCAACGGAUGGCUCGGGAAUUGUUUUGGAUGGGAAUGAAGGGUAAUAUUGCAUGCAUGGUUGCACAGUGUGAUGUGUGUCAGCGCCAAAAGUAUUCCACUUUGGCUCCUAGUGGAUUGUUACAGUCGCUGGAAUUACCUAAUAAGGUUUGGUCCGAGGUUACUAUGGAUUUUAUUGGUGGGUUACCCAAGUCGGAGGGGUUUUCGGUUAUUUUUAUGGUGGUUGACAGGUUAAGUAAAUAUGCUCAUUUUGUUCCGUUGAAACAUCCAUACACAGCCUUGACAGUGGCAGGGGUUUUCUUGCGAGAGGUGGUUCGUCUGCAUGGCGUUCCGGAGUCUAUUGUGUCGGAUCGGGAUCGCGUUUUCUUAAGUUUGUUUUGGCGUGAAUUGUUUCGUUUGCAGGGUACUAAGUUAAAGCGGAGUACGACAUACCAUCCUCAAACUGACGGUCAAACUGAGGUGGUAAAUCGUUGUUUAGAGACUUAUCUUCGUUGUUUGGUGGCGGAUUCUCCAAGAAAUGGGCUAAAUGGUUGUCGUGGGCGGAGUUUUGGUACAAUACUUCCUUUCACACGUCCUCCAAUACUACUCCUUUUCGGGUGCUCUAUGGACGGGAUCCGCCCCAUUUGGUUUAUUAUGGCAGUCAACGCUCUUCGGUGGGAUCGAUGGAAGAAUACUUGGAAGAACGAGACUUGAUGAUGGGAGAGUUGAAGAAGUAUUUAUUGCAUGCCCAACAACUGAUGAAGAUUAAAGCUGACAAGCAUCGAAGGGAGGAGGAGUUUGUUGUCGGGGAUCGGGUCUUUCUCAAGUUGCAACCGUAUCGGUAGCAUACAGUGGCUCGUCGCCCAAAUGAAAAGCUUGCUCCUCGCUAUUUUGGUCCCUUUGAGGAGUUAGAAAGAAUUGGUCGGGUGGCUUAUCGUUUGCGAUUACCAGACUCGGCGAGGAUUCAUGAUGUUUUCCACAUUUCCCAGCUGAAAAAGGCAGUUGGUAAUCAUUUAGUCCUUCCACAGUUGCCGAGUACUUUGACUGCUGAUAUGGAGGUUUUAUUAGAACCUGCUCAGAUAGAAGGGGUUCGUGAAGGGGCGUCGGGGCAGGAAGUUUUGAUUCGAUGGAAGGAUCUUCCAUCUUAUGAAGCUACAUGGGAGUUGAUGGCUGAUAUGGUGCAACAGUUUCCUAGUUUUCACCUUGAGGACAAGGUGAAUGUUUGGGCGGGGAGUAAUGAUACGUCCCAAACAAACCGCUUUGGUCGUGUUUAUCAGAGACGCUUUAAGAAAAGUUUAAAAUAGGAUAAUUAUAAGUUAUAGUUAUCUAGUUAUUAUUGCUUAGUUAUUUUAUUAUUUAGGAAUCGGAUGUUUAGGACUUUUGGUUAUUUUAGCAGGUCACUAUAAUUGGUGCACCAUAGGGAGAAUUGUUUCUUUUAUCGAUUAAUUAAUAAAGCCGUGAGGUAAUUUUGGAGUUCUUCCUGUGACUCGAAUAACAGGAACAGUUCACGGGAAU
rnacentral:lncRNA from 1 species